GAGGAAAUCACCGUGGGACAGCUCAUCUCACACCUCCAGGUCUCCAACCAGGAGAUUCAGACCUACGCCAUUGCACUGAUUAAUGCACUUUUUCUGAAGGCUCCUGAGGACAAACGACAGGAUAUGGCAAAUGCAUUUGCACAGAAGCAUCUCCGGUCUAUAAUCCUGAAUCAUGUGAUCCGAGGGAACCGCCCCAUCAAAACUGAGAUGGCCCAUCAGCUGUAUGUCCUUCAAGUCCUAACCUUUAACCUUCUGGAAGAAAGGAUGAUGACCAAGAUGGACCCCAAUGACCAGGCUCAAAGGGACAUCAUAUUUGAACUGAGGAGGAUUGCAUUUGACGCAGAGUCUGAUCCUAGCAAUGCCCCUGGGAGUGGGACCGAAAAACGCAAAGCCAUGUACACAAAGGACUACAAAAUGCUGGGAUUUACCAACCACAUCAAUCCAGCCAUGGACUUUACCCAGACUCCUCCUGGAAUGCUGGCCUUGGACAACAUGCUGUACUUGGCUAAAGUCCACCAGGACACCUACAUCCGGAUUGUCUUGGAGAACAGUAGCCGGGAAGACAAACAUGAAUGCCCCUUUGGCCGCAGUGCCAUUGAGCUCACCAAAAUGCUCUGUGAAAUACUGCAGGUUGGGGAACUACCAAAUGAAGGACGCAAUGACUACCACCCGAUGUUCUUUACCCAUGACCGAGCCUUUGAAGAGCUCUUUGGAAUCUGCAUCCAGCUGUUGAACAAGACCUGGAAGGAGAUGAGGGCAACAGCAGAGGACUUCAACAAGGUCAGUGUCUCCGGGCUGCUCUGAGGCCCACGGGAGGAGACCAUCACACGACAGCCUUUGACAGCUGGCUGGCACCUGGAGAAUCCGAGCUGGAAAAGCAGCUUGGUCUGCAGAACUGUGUCACAAGACUGAGGCAUUGGGGAGCCUCAGCCCCAU
rnacentral:sRNA from 1 species